rnacentral:rRNA from 1 species
ACCUACGGGUGGCUGCAGUGGGGAAUUUUGGACAAUGGGGGAAACCCUGAUCCAGCCAUCCCGCGUGUGCGAUGAAGGCCUUCGGGUUGUAAAGCACUUUUGGCAGGAAAGAAACGUCGCGGGUUAAUACCCCGCGGAACUGACGGUACCUGCAGAAUAAGCACCGGCUAACUACGUGCCAGCAGCCGCGGUAAUACGUAGGGUGCAAGCGUUAAUCGGAAUUACUGGGCGUAAAGCGUGCGCAGGCGGUUCGGAAAGAAAGAUGUGAAAUCCCAGAGCUUAACUUUGGAACUGCAUUUUUAACUACCGAGCUAGAGUGUGUCAGAGGGAGGUGGAAUUCCGCGUGUAGCAGUGAAAUGCGUAGAUAUGCGGAGGAACACCGAUGGCGAAGGCAGCCUCCUGGGAUAACACUGACGCUCAUGCACGAAAGCGUUGGGAGCAAACAGGAUUAGAUACCCUAGUAGUCC